rnacentral:rRNA from 1 species
GAUGAACGCUAGCGGCAGGCUUAACACAUGCAAGUCGAGGGGUAUAGUUCUUCGGAGCUAGAGACCGGCGCACGGGUGCGUAACGCGUAUGCAAUCUACCUUUUGCAGAGGGAUAGCCCAGAGAAAUUUGGAUUAAUACCUCAUGGUAUGUGAGAAUGGCAUCAUUUUCACAUUAAAGUCACAACGGCAAAAGAUGAGCAUGCGUCCCAUUAGCUAGUUGGUAAGGUAACGGCUUACCAAGGCAACGAUGGGUAGGGGUCCUGAGAGGGAGAUCCCCCACACGGGUACUGAGACACGGACCAGACUCCUACGGGAGGCAGCAGUGAGGAAUAUUGGACAAUGGGCGCAAGCCUGAUCCAGCCAUGCCGCGUGCAGGAUGACGGUCCUAUGGAUUGUAAACUGCUUUUGUACAGGAAGAAACACUGGUUCGUGAACCAGCUUGACGGUACUGUAAGAAUAAGGAUCGGCUAACUCCGUGCCAGCAGCCGCCGUAAUAC